rnacentral:lncRNA from 1 species
UAGAGAGUAGAUUCAGUGCCUGAUUCUGGCUCUUAUUAACUAUAUGACCUUGGACCAGUUACUUGCCCUCUGGGACCUCAGUUUCCUCGAGUUGAACUUGAUAAUCAUAAAGAAAUAGAUCUAGAUCACAUGACCUGAAGUUCCUCAUAGUCUCUAAAGCCUCUGGGGUGAGAGAAAGGGGGGAGGCAGGGUCUCUGCUGGCUGAGUGGUAUCUGUGAUAAAUAUAGGGCUCUGAGACUACCUGAUGGAGCUGACCCUUAACUUUGUCUUCUGGCUUCCCAGCAAACCUCGAACAUACCAGGUGGUUCUGGGAGAGUAUGACUGGUCUGUGGAGGAAGGGGAAGAGCAAGUGAUUCCUGUCAACCCUGAUGAGAAAUGGGACCCCAACUGUGUGGCCUGUGGAUGACAGCAGAACAUUAGAGAGGAGCCAGAGCUGGCUUGGAGGAGCCCUUUCAACAGCAGAAGUAAAAACACCUUGGAAAGCUGGCUUUCUGUUUCUCUUUUUUGUUGGCCCCUGGCUCGCUAUAUUUCCCCUGCCUUAUUCCUUUCAACUGUAGGAAUGCAAAUAAAUAGUUUAACCUUAUUGGAUUCCUUAUGAUA